rnacentral:lncRNA from 1 species
AGCACAGAAGACGAAGAGCUGGAAUAGAGCUCGCCUCGGCUCUGCUGGCCUUGGCUGCAGCUCUUCCAGAAACCCGGGGCGCCCACAGAAGAAUCUCUUACCUGGCUCUCUCUUCAGGGAUGACAUCAUCGGCUCACACCAGUCUUCCAGGACCACCUUCUGGAUGCCAAGGCUGCUGCUCGAGUACCUGCUGUGCACCUCUACCUCCUGAGCCAAGGAGCACGGAUUCCAGGAACCCACUACCAUACAGAGCAACUCCUUGUGGACCCCCCUGGGAUCAGGACAGCGAGGGACAAGCGACAAAGAGGAUCAUCAGUGGCCAGCUAGUUUCUCUGGGGUUCAAACCUUGAACCAGUGCCCUAGUGAGGGGGCACUGGCCAUGGCCCUUGACCUUUGCUCUGCUUGUGUCUUGAGUCUGAGCCCUUUCCUGUACAUCUGUGCUCGUGUUCAUCUGCUAGUGAACUGGAGUGCUGCCCUCCCCGAGGAGGGUCGUCCCUUGUGACUGAUCAUGCUGUCCUAACAAUGUCCUGAGCAAAAGGGUCCCUUUGGGAACCUCUCAGGAGGGGGACCCGGGUCAGGGGCGACCAGCAUCUUGCUGGCAACUCCGUGGGUGGGGUGGGGUGGGGUGCUUCCUUCUGGAAUGAGCACGUGGCUGACCCCCCAAGGCAUGUCCCCUCCCCCUCCUCCACCCACCUUCUCGGAGAUGUCCCUUUUGGGGUAGUGGGGACAUUAGGAGCAACCUCCUAGGGUUGUUGUGAGAAUUAAAUGAACUGCAGCAGCCUGAGGCAGGGCUGGGCAGAGACCUCAGCACAUGUUUGUUGAAAGGUUUGCAGGUGGAUCUAGUCCUCCCGUUCAUGGCUCAUGUGUCUCAACCAUUCUCUCGCAGACUCCUGCAGCCCCUAUGCCCAGGGCUCUCCUUGCGCCAGAGGUAGGUGGGAAAGAGAACUGGGAGAGCCCGGACUCACUCAUGAGAUUGAACUUAAAUUCACACGGAGGACACUUGGACUCUUGCCACAUUAGCCCCGGCUUCUCGAGGCCUGUCUACACUCGCUGCUUUCCUUCCUCACCUCCAAUUUCCCCUCCAACCCACUGCUUCCUGACUCGCUCUUCUCCAUCGAACGGCUCUCGCUCAGGCCUGUCGCGUCUUCCUGUGCCAUUUGCUGUUGUGCUCAGGUUCCACGAGCUGCCCAUCUCCACAGAAGAGCAGCUGGCAUUGCCCACCGGCCAUGCCGGCUGAAGAAAAGAAGACUGAGGACCCCAGGAUGCCCAGCGCGAGGACCCCAGGAAGCCCAGCGCGAGGACUCCACCCACGACGCCCAGCGCGAGGACUUCACGCACAACACGUUGCAACCCUCCUGGAUUAGGCCAAAGCCAUCAUCUGGAAUCCUGCGUGGGACCCUGGACACACGGACACAGACACCUGCCCCCAGGACCCUCCAACUGUAAAUCGUGUGCGUCACUGGCAAGCCUACCUCACAGGGUUGUUGUGAGGGCUAAGGGCUGAUCGGCUGUAACAGUGUGAUGUCCAUGCUGGCUGUCACCAGGGAUGGUGCCAUGAUGGGGUUGGCUUGAAAUCACAACCUAUACCGUUAUUAGUGGUCACUGAAUAAAGAGUCUCACUGUGGACACUGAGCCUCUACAGCCACGGGGACGCCUUGCACAUUUCCUGUGGGACAUGCUGGACCCAAGACUCUGGACCCUGGCCUCCCCUUGAGUAGAGAGACCCACCUACUGACUGAUGAACUGCGCUGACCCUGGGGUCAGGCAUGUGGCCUUGAUCCCUACCCAUGGACCCUGAGACUUGGGGGGGUGGGAGAAAGGCUGUUGUGUCUUCACUGUUGAGUCUACAUCUGUGAAAUGGGCUCAGGUUCCUACCUCACAGGGCUGUUGUGAGGCAGCCGCAAUGUGCUUAGAAGCAUGGGGCCUAGUGGCUCAUGGUGCUUUCAAUAAAUUUCUUGUUUUAACUAAAGCA